AGCAGGCGCGUAAAUUACCCAAUGUGAAAUUCCCGAGGUAGUGACGAGAAAUAUCCAUGUGUGGCGCUUCGCGUCAUACGAUGGGAAUGAGAGCAAUGUAAAACCCUCAUCGAGGAUCAACUGGAGGGCAAGUCUGGUGCCAGCAGCCGCGGUAAUUCCAGCUCCAGAAGCAUAUGCUAAAGUUGUUGCAGUUAAAAAGCUCGUAGUUGAAUUUCUGGUUUGGGCGACCGGGGCGUUUGUGCGAAUGCGCAAUUGUUUUCCCUGCGUCGCCUUGGCCAUCUUGCAGUGCUUUUUAAGUACUGCUCAUUCACUGUAAUCAAAGCAGAGUGUUCCAAGCAGGUCGUAUGACCGGUAUGUUUAUUAUGGGAUGACGAGAUAAGACUUGGGUGUUAUUUCGUUGGUUUGCACGCCUGAGUAAUGGUUAAUAGGAACAGUUGGGGGUAUUCGUAUUUAGGAGCUAGAGGUGAAAUUCUUGGAUUUCCGAAAGACGAACUAGAGCGAAGGCAUUUACCAAGCAUGUUUUCAUUAAUCAAGAACGAAAGUCUGGGGAUCG
rnacentral:rRNA from 1 species